AGAGGAAAAAAACACCAUAUCAAUUCUCUUUGAUUUAAAUGUGCCAAUGUAUAACGCAAUUUAAUUAUUGGAACAAAAAUUAACUUUUUUUUAUUAAAAAUGUAAUUCAGCGAAAGCAUGACGCAUUAAAUCCUCUAUUUUGCGUGCGUUUAGUACCUAUUAUAUAUAUGUAUAGGUAAAUGAAAUCAUUAUUACGUAAAUCAUAGCCUACUAAUUAAUUAUUUAUUUUCAAUUAAUGUACCGAGGACUUAUAUAUAGAAAGUUCCUUCAUAAUAAAAAAUAUUUGAAUCUCGGUCUCUUUGUUCUUUAAAAUUAUUUAUAUUUUAUUAUUUAUUUCAAUUCUUUAUUAAUUUUUUUGUCAUAGUUUUUCCUUUAACAUUUUGUCGCGGGAAAGGUUUUUAAGGGGGGAACACCAGUUGUAACUUUCGAAAUAUCGAUUUUUUUUUUGGUGCAUUUUCUUAAAGUAUACAUAUUUAGAAAUGUGUCUGUAAAUUUCAAAGUUGAUCCGGUGAAAAAUAAAUGAGAUAUACAGAACACUGCAGCGGCGCGUCCCGUGGCUUCAUACAAGGUGGCCAGCCAUACCUGACCCUAACGACAGAUGGCCUUUUCCUAUGAUUUAGAAACGGCAACCACUGCGGAAGAGUUAUUAUAUGGUCCAGGAAUCGAUGACUCUUUGUAACUUAGAAACAAAAUUUCUUCUGAACAAAAAAAAACGAAGUAUACUUGCAGAAUGCUGGUCACCGCAAUUCGCCUUUUUUCUUAAGACGCCACUUCAAUGGCUCAUAUCUCCAAAAGUUUUUGUUAAAAAAAUUUUUUUUUUCUUUUAAAUUACAGCUUUUUACAUGUACUUUUAACUAAUAAAUAGUAUUCUUUAAAAA